CUGCACUUCACACUGAACCCGGAAGUGCAGGGAGGCGGACCAGGAGUCCCUGCAGCACAUGUGCUAGCUCUGACAGCCUGUGCUCCCGGUCUGCCCCUAAUACAGAGGCAGACGGGAGCAGCGUUAAUCGCGGUGAUCUGGGGUCAACUUUACCGCAUGACGGACCUGGUCCGUCAUUCUGCAUUAACAGUUUCUCCGCCUUGAUGGACCAGGUCCGUCACUCGGCGGGAACAGGUUAAGAGGUUACCUUGGAGCCCCAUUGCUUUUUAACGAGCUUUCCAGGAAUUCCCACCUGACCCGGUCACCCGCCUUCUCGGCAUCCAAUGACU